rnacentral:rRNA from 1 species
UGGGGGAUAACGUAGGGAAACUUACGCUAAUACCGCAUACGACCUACGGGUGAAAGUGGGGGACCSCMAGGCCYCMCGCGAUUAGAUGAGCCGAUGUCCGAUUAGCUAGUUGGCGGGGUAAUGGCCCMCCAAGGCGACGAUCGGUAGCUGGUCUGAGAGGAUGAUCAGCCACACUGGAACUGAGACACGGUCCAGACUCCUACGGGAGGCAGCAGUGGGGAAUAUUGGACAAUGGGCGCAAGCCUGAUCCAGCCAUACCGCGUGGGUGAAGAAGGCCUUCGGGUUGUAAAGCCCUUUUGUUGGGAAAGAAAUYCUAUCGGUUAAUAACCGGUGGGGAUGGCGGUACCCAAAGAAUAAGCACCGGCUAACUUCGUGCCAGCAGCCGCGGUAAUACGAAGGGUGCAAGCGUUACUCGGAAUUACUGGGCGUAAAGCGUGCGUAGGUGGUGGUUUAAGUCCGUUGUGAAAGCCCUGGGCUCAACCUGGGAAUUGCAGUGGAUACUGGAUCACUAGAGUGUGGUAGAGGGAUGCGGAAUUUCUGGUGUAGCAGUGAAAUGCGUAGAGAUCAGAAGGAAYAUCYGUGGCGAAGGCGGYAUCCUGGGCCAACACUGACACUGAGGCACGAAAGCGUGGGGAGCAAACAGGAUUAGAUACYCUGGUAGUCCACGCYCUAAACGAUGCGAACUGGAUGUUGGGUGCAACUUGGCACCCAGUAUCGAAGCUAACGCGUUAAGUUCGCCGYCUGGGAGUACGGUCGCAGACUGAAACUCAAAGGAAUUGACGGGGCCCGCACAGCGGUGAGUAUGUGGUUUAAUUCGAUGCAC